CAGCGGAAUCACACUUACGAAGCUAGUAGGUGUUAUUGUGCUGAGCUUCGCAAAGUCACGAGUGUUUGUGGUUUAUUACUUUCAAAUGUACCUUGCGUUGGUUCUCAUCGGAUUCCUACACGGGCUCGUUUUUCUUCCGGUUCUGCUAAGCAUUUGUGGACCGCCUUCAAGAUGUGAUUCUGAUGAAAAACCAGAAAAUCAGCCUACUAUUCCAGCUGAGACAAUAUCAUCAUAAUAAAGAAAAGGUAGAGUAGCCGUUACGAUGGCUACAAAAGGUUGUUUUUAUGAGGUGAUAAAAAAAAAACUAUUUAGAAAGUAGAAGUUGGGAAGUGUGGUGAUGAAAAUAUCAUCAUGUAUAUGUUGUAAAUGAAAUUUGCAUGACUCUACAAUUAGAAAGGAAACAAACAAUAUCUAGACACUAGUGAGGCUCUGCAGGCAUGAACUUUCAGAAAUUCUGUAAUUUUAAGGAUUCAGAUACGAGAAGACUGACCUGAGCUUAAGCGAUAUGUUAAGUUUUUUGUUUCGCUAAGCUUUUAUUUUUAUAGUAGUUUGUUACAAAAUCGCUUUAAAAAAAGUUAGGUUCUAAAUUAGGGAGCAAAUGGUUGUCUGAAACAGCAACAUAGUUUUUGUAAUAACAAUUUCAUAGAAAGUAUUG